CACGGGUUCGGUUCUCCGUUGCUGCCGUUUCCUGCUCUCCAGGGCCGAUCGUUGUAGAGUGGAGCACAUUUCUCACAGUGAGCACCUGCAGUGUGAGAUGCAAUGCAUUGCGCACAGAAGCAAAAUCUACAGAUCUGCAAAAGUGGCAGGAGAAACAGGUAAAGAAGCACUUCGGAACUAGAGAACAGAUCUUCUCACCUGUCACGCCGUGCAAAAAUCCUAGGAGAAGCAUCGCAAGUGGAAAGCGAUUCAUGCUCGAGAUCAUCA